UUCCAAUUACAUUUCACCGAACGUCAAUUUAGGUCGCGGAAUUUCGCAGCCAUGGCUCAAACCAGCAACAAUGCACUUGGCGUUGAUAACACCUUUAGAAGGAAAUUUGAUGGAGAAGAAUAUUUGGAACGAGCUCGGAGCGCGAAAGACAGCAAAAGGCCCCCCGUGCAAAGAAAGCCAUUGAAACAUAGAGAUUAUGAAGUGGACCUUGAAUCUCGCUUGGGAAAAACUCAAGUUGUUACUCUUAUAGCACCUCUCAGUCAACAGGACUUGGAAUCGGGGAAGAUGAUUGGCAGUGCUGAACUAUGUGAAGGACUCUAUCUCAUCAGGGCACCAAAAAUUCCGAGAAGACAAGUUCAACUUGCAAGAAGUGUUCCCAUUGUGCAACCAAGGUUGAUUGCGCCACUUAUGUCGCGUACAGUGGCCGUAUUGUAGAACAAGAAGUUUGAGACAAUAUUGUCAACACAAUUGAGCACCAAUUGUGUCACAGUCAGGCAAGGUCCAUUGAACAAGUAAAGUGCUUGAGGAGGGACAUUGAUACUUCCACUCUAGUCUAGUCUAUAGGCCUCAUUACAACCAGAAUAUAUCUUAACAAAUAAAUGGUUGAAUCAAGUUCGGGAACAAAAAUGAAAAAUCAAGGAAAGCCAUUACAAAAGACUAUGGUGGGCAGAAAAGAAAUGGGCUUGAAAGAGGGUGUUCAUCAACUGAUUUAUGUAUGAAUCAGUAAAACAACGACACUUUUUAAUCAGGUAAUAUUAAAAUUCUGUUUUGACAGUCGUGUAUGAGAGUGGGAUCCACUCAUUUGGAAGAAAAACAGAAGAGAGGUGUUAGGUUGGUGGGCUAAAGCUAGUUAUGGCAACAAGGGGCUGGGGACAAAUGGACUGAAAUGGAGAGUUAAGUUGGUGUCCAAAACUCUUUGUACUUGUUCCGUUCUUUUUGGGAAACAA